GCUUGCUUCUCUUGAGAGCGGCGGACGGGUGAGUAAUGCCUAGGAAUCUGCCUGGUAGUGGGGGAUAACGUUCGGAAACGGACGCUAAUACCGCAUACGUCCUACGGGAGAAAGCAGGGGACCUUCGGGCCUUGCGCUAUCAGAUGAGCCUAGGUCGGAUUAGCUAGUUGGUGAGGUAAUGGCUCACCAAGGCGACGAUCCGUAACUGGUCUGAGAGGAUGAUCAGUCACACUGGAACUGAGACACGGUCCAGACUCCUACGGGAGGCAGCAGUGGGGAAUAUUGGACAAUGGGCGAAAGCCUGAUCCAGCCAUGCCGCGUGUGUGAAGAAGGUCUUCGGAUUGUAAAGCACUUUAAGUUGGGAGGAAGGGCAGUUGCUUAAUACGUAACUGUUUUGACGUUACCGACAGAAUAAGCACCGGCUAACUCUGUGCCAGCAGCCGCGGUAAUACAGAGGGUGCAAGCGUUAAUCGGAAUUACUGGGCGUAAAGCGCGCGUAGGUGGUUUGUUAAGUUGGAUGUGAAAUCCCCGGGCUCAACCUGGGAACUGCAUUCAAAACUGACUGACUAGAGUAUGGUAGAGGGUUGGUGGGAAUUUCCUGUGUAGCGGUGAAAUGCGUAGAUAUAGGAAGGAACACCAGUGGCGAAGGCGACCACCUGGACUGAUACUGACACUGAGGUGCGAAAGCGUGGGGAGCAAACAGGAUUAGAUACCCUGGUAGUCCACGCCGUAAACGAUGUCAACUAGCCGUUGGAAGCCUUGAGCUUUUAGUGGCGCAGCUAACGCAUUAAGUUGACCGCCUGGGGAGUA
rnacentral:rRNA from 1 species